rnacentral:rRNA from 1 species
CCCUUAGAUGUUCUGGGCUGCACGCGCGCUACACUGAUGCACUCAACGAGUUUACGACCUUGCCCGAUAGGGUUGGGUAAUCUUUUUAAAAUGCAUCGUGAUGGGGAUAGAUUAUUGCAAUUAUUAAUCUUCAACGAGGAAUUCCUAGUAAGCGCGAGUCAUCAGCUCGUGCUGAUUACGUCCCUGCCCUUUGUACACACCGCCCGUCGCUCCUACCGAUUGAAUGUUCCGGUGAGCUCUUCGGACUGCGCGGUCUGCAGUUUCUGCGUUCCGUGCGGAAAGUUGCACAAACCUUAACAUUUAGAGGAAGGAGAAGUCGUAACA